GGGAACAUACCCUUUUCUACGGAAUAGCUCUGGGAAACUGGAAUUAAUACCGUAUACGCCCUACGGGGGAAAGAUUUAUCGGGGAAGGAUUGGCCCGCGUUGGAUUAGCUAGUUGGUGGGGUAAAGGCCUACCAAGGCGACGAUCCAUAGCUGGUCUGAGAGGAUGAUCGGCCACAUUGGGACUGAGACACGGCCCAAACUCCUACGGGAGGCAGCAGUGGGGAAUAUUGGACAAUGGGCGCAAGCCUGAUCCAGCCAUGCCGCGUGAGUGAUGAAGGCCUUAGGGUUGUAAAGCUCUUUCACCGAUGAAGAUAAUGACGGUAGUCGGAGAAGAAGCCCCGGCUAACUUCGUGCCAGCAGCCGCGGUAAUACGAAGGGGGCUAGCGUUGUUCGGAAUUACUGGGCGUAAAGCGCACGUAGGCGGAUAUUUAAGUCAGGGGUGAAAUCCCAGAGCUCAACUCUGGAACUGCCUUUGAUACUGGGUAUCUUGAGUAUGGAAGAGGUAAGUGGAAUUGCGAGU
rnacentral:rRNA from 1 species